rnacentral:rRNA from 1 species
UGGUGGUAAUUCUAGAGCUAAUACAUGGCACCAAAGCUCCGAUUUUUGACGAGCGCAUCUAUUAGAUUAAAACCAAUCGGAUUUCGGUCCGUCAUUUGGUGACUCUGAAUAGCUAUGGCUGAUCGCAUGGUCUUGUACCGGCGACGUGUCUAUCAAGUGUCUGCCUUAUCAACUUUCGAUGGUAGUUUAUGUGCCUACCAUGGUUGUUACGGGUAACGGAGAAUAAGGGUUCGACUCCGGAGAGGGAGCCUGAGAAACGGCUACCACAUCCAAGGAAGGCAGCAGGCGCGCAAAUUACCCACUCUCGGCAUGAGGAGGUAGUGACGAAAAAUAACGAGACCGUUCUCUACGAGGCCGGUUAUCGGAAUGGGUACAAUUUAAACCCGUUAACGAGGAUCUAUGAGAGGGCAAGUCUGGUGCCAGCAGCCGCGGUAAUUCCAGCUCUCAAAGUGUAUAUCGUCAUUGCUGCGGUUAAAAAGCUCGUAGUUGGAUCUGCGCCUCAGGACUCGGUCCGCCCACUGGGUGAGAACUGGGCUUCUGGGCUAAUACUGCUGGUUUUCCCUUCGUUGCCUUCAUCGGUCGCGUAGGGUGGCUAGUGAGUUUACUUUGAAAAAAUUAGAGUGCUUCACGCGGGCUAUUGUCUGAAUACUCGUGCAUGGAAUAAUAGAAUAGGAUCUCGGUUCUAUUUUGUUGGUUUUCUGAUCUGAGAUAAUGGUUAAGAGGGACGGACGGGGGCAUUCGUAUCGCUGCGUGAGAGGUGAAAUUCUUGGACCGUAGCGAGACGUCCGACUGCGAAAGCAUUUGCCAAGAAUGUCUUCAUUAAUCAAGA